UACGAAGGGGGCUAGCGUUGCUCGGAAUCACUGGGCGUAAAGCGCACGUAGGCGGACUUUUAAGUCGGAGGUGAAAUCCUGGAGCUCAACUCCAGAACUGCCUUCGAUACUGAGAGUCUUCGAGUUCGGGAGAGGUGAGUGGAACUGCGAGUGUAGAGGUGAAAUUCGUAGAUAUUCGCAAGAACACCAGUGGCGAAGGCGGCUCACUGGCCCGGUACUGACGCUGAGGUGCGAAAGCGUGGGGGAGCAAACAGGG
rnacentral:rRNA from 1 species